AUUGAACGCUGGCGGCAGGCCUAACACAUGCAAGUCGAACGAGUGGCGCACGGGUGAGUAGUGUCUGGGAAACUGCCCGAUGGAGGGGGAUAACUACUGGACACGGUCGCUAAUACCGCAUACUCUCGGAUGUGCCCAGAUGGGAUGAGCUAGUAGGUGGUGUAAGGGCUCACCUAGGCGAAGAUCCCUAGCUGGUCUGAGAGGAUGACCAGCCACACUGGAACUGAGACACGGUCCAGACUCCUACGGGAGGCAGCAGUGGGGAAUAUUGCACAAUGGGCGCAAGCCUGAUGCAGCCAUGCCGCGUGUAUGAAGAAGGCCUUCGGGUUGUAAAGUACUUUCAGCGGGGAGGCGUUACCCGCAGAAGAAGCACCGGCUAACUCCGUGCCAGCAGCCGCGGUAAUUC
rnacentral:rRNA from 1 species